rnacentral:rRNA from 1 species
AACGUAGGAGGCAAGCGUUAUCCGGAUUUACUGGGCGUAAAGCGCGUGCAGGCGGUUCGGUAAGUCGGACGUGAAAGCUCCUGGCUCAACUGGGAGAGGCCGUUCGAUACUACCGAACUAGAGGGCAGGAGAGGGAGGUGGAAUUCCGGGUGUAGCGGUGAAAUGCGUAGAUAUCCGGAGGAACACCAGUGGCGAAGGCGGCCUCCUGGUCUGCCCCUGACGCUCAGACGCGAAAGCUAGGGGAGCGAACGGG